rnacentral:rRNA from 1 species
UGAGGGAAUAUUUGGGGUCAAUGGACGUGAGUCUGAACCAGCCAAGUAGCGUGCAGGAUGACGGCCCUAUGGGUUGUAAACUUCUUUAGACGCAGAGCAAUAAGGGCCACGUGUGGUCCGAUGAGAGUAUGCGUAGAAUAAGCAUCGGCUAACUCCGUGCCAGCAGCCGCGGUAAUACGGGGGAUGCGAGCGUUAUCCGGAUUCAUUGGGUUUAAAGGGUGCGUAGGCGGCUUUGCAAGUCAGCGGUGAAAGGCCCGGGCUCAACCCGGAAAGUGCCGUUGAUACUGUGAGGCUGGAAUGCGGAUGCUGUGGGAGGAAUGAGUGGUGUAGCGGUGAAAUGCAUAGAUAUCACUCAGAACACCGAUUGCGAAGGCAUCUCACAAAUCCGCAAUUGACGCUGAGGCACGAAAGCGUGGGGAUCGAACAGGAUUAGAUACCCU